UUUUAAGAGAGUUUGAUCCUGGCUCAGGACGAACGCUGGCGGCGUGCCUAAUACAUGCAAGUCGAGCGAAUGUGUGGGAGCUUGCUCCCGCAUGUUAGCGGCGGAUGGGUGAGUAACACGUGGGCAACCUGCCUGUAAGACUGGGAUAACUUCG
rnacentral:rRNA from 1 species